GGAACAUCUUCAUUCUUACCUUUCUUCAAGUCGUAUCUGUAGACUUGUUAUAUCUCUUAAGCCUCAAGUCCAAGCAAUUCCAAUCAGGCUGACCUAGGUUCUGGCUGGAGAGAAGCCAAGUCUCAAGGAAGGUCAGCAAUAGAAAAUGAGGUGUGAUGAUGCCAGAGAGCAUGUGUCCCUGACUCUGAGUGGAGGACUGGGGACAAUGGGACAUAAGCUUGUAGAAAAUUCUAUAAUAAACCUUGUGGCUGUCCUAAGCCAUCCGUCAGUGGGGAUCAGGAAGUAGGAGAGGUUAUCCUACAAGAAGAUUUACUCUUCAAAAGAUCUGAAAGUUGUUUUUUUUUUUUAUCUAUAGAGCUUGCUUUUUCUCUACGAUGGGGUGUUAUAGAUAACCACUAUUAGUGAUCACAUAUAACUGUUGAAACACUGGUGGCAGAAAAGCCUGUAGACUGCCUCUCACCUAUCUCCAAUACCUUUAAUGAUUCAAGAGUAGUGUGAUAUUCCAUGUAAUAAAACAGGUUUGGAACAUUAUUUCCUUUGCUGUCCCUUAUGUGAUUUUUUUUUCUGCUUCACAAGUUUGCUUGAAUAUAAUAUACAUUUUAAUAUUCAGACUCUGAAAUAUGUAAUUACAAUCAAGUGCUUGUCAUAGCUGAAAGAUUUCUGGUGGCUUAAAGCUUACUAGCACUUUACUCAAUGAUAUUGUACAGUAACUUGUACAGAAAGGCACCAUUAUGCUAGCUAAAAUUUACAGAACUUGGUAGAAAAGGUCCUUAUGUGUAAUCACUCGGGUUGCAUUCUGCUAUGAUACAGAUGUUGAUUUCAGUUUUCCUCAGCAUCAACAUUAUAAAAGCACUUCUGUAUGUAGCUCAUGAAAAGAAAAAAAAAAAGGUUCUGAAUCUUUUAAUCUUGGCCUUGUUUCCAAAUCCUGUCUUCCACUUUGUUCUGUAACUCCUGACCACUCUUAAACAGCUCACAAAUCUUUAAAGAAACUGGAAUAGGCUGUUAUUUUAUCAAGGUUUACAAAUUAAGUGCUUGAUUUUUAAUGUGUCUAUCCUCUUUUGAUUUUCAGAUUUUAUUAAUAUUUGAAGAUGUGCCUUUUAUUGGGUAAUGUUAAGUCAUGAAUGUAGUAAUGUUAUUUCACUAUUGUAAUAAUAUUACAUGAUCAUGGAUGCAGCAUUCUCAAACACGAUGUGAAGGGAAAGUAGUUUUCAUAAAACUCAGUAGAGCUCUGAUUGCACAGUCCCACUUGCUUUAGACGUUGCUGUUAAAGCAGGGGGCACUUUUUCUUUAAAAGCUACUUUCAGAACUUGUCUUUGUAUUUUCUCUAAACUACAAAUGCAAUUAUGUCCAUUUGGAGGCCAGGGUACC
rnacentral:lncRNA from 1 species